GGCCACUUCGGUGGUACACGAGCGGCGGACGGCUGAGUAACACGUAGGAACGUACCCCAAACUGAGGGAUAACUGCUCGAAAGAGUAGCUAAUACCGCAUGUGCUCCAAGGAGUAAAGCUUCGGCGGUUUGGGAACGGCCUGCGUCCGAUUAGCUAGAUGGUGAGGUAAUGGCUCACCAUGGCGACGAUCGGUAGCUGGUCUGAGAGGAUGAUCAGCCAGACUGGGACUGAGAACGGCCCAG
rnacentral:rRNA from 1 species